rnacentral:snoRNA from 1 species
AUGUUUAUGAUGAUAACUUUCUCAGCUCACUCAGAUCACAAAUGAUCGAUAAAUUUUCCUAUCCAACAAUUAGAUUACUGAUUUUCAU